UGGGGAAUUUUGGACAAUGGGCGAAAGCCUGAUCCAGCAAUGCCGCGUGUGUGAAGAAGGCCUUCGGGUUGUAAAGCACUUUUGUCCGGAAAGAAAUCCUUGGCUCUAAUACAGUCGGGGGAUGACGGUACCGGAAGAAUAAGCACCGGCUAACUACGUGCCAGCAGCCGCGGUAAUACGUAGGGUGCAAGCGUUAAUCGGAAUUACCGGGCGUAAAGCGUGCGCAGGCGGUUUGCUAAGACCGAUGUGAAAUCCCCGGGCUCAACCUGGGAACUGCAUUGGUGACUGGCAGGCUAGAGUAUGGCAGAGGGGGGUAGAAUUCCACGUGUAGCAGUGAAAUGCGUAGAGAUGUGGAGGAAUACCGAUGGCGAAGGCAGCCCCCUGGGCCAAUACUGACGCUCAUGCACGAAAGCGUGGGGAGCAAACAGGAUUAGAUACCCUGGUAGUCCACGCCCUAAACGAUGUCAACUAGUUGUUGGGGAUUCAUUUCCUUAGUAACGUAGCUAACGCGUGAAGUUGACCGCCUGGGGAGUACGGUCGCAAGGUUAAAACUCAAAUGAAUUGACGGGGUCAUAGCUGUUUCCU
rnacentral:rRNA from 1 species